AAUAUUUGUCAUGUUAAUAUUUGUAUCUGAUGUAUCUUGUUAGGUUCAAUUGUUUCCUUGAAAAACAGGUCAAAAACCAUAAAUAAGAAACAAAUUUAAUGAUUUUACAGAAGUAUAAUCUACCAUAUUAGUAGAAUUAAGGGGCAGAUUUAUGGGGUAGGCUAGCACAAUUUUAUUUUAAUUAUAGAAUAACGAAAAUGAAAAAAUGGAAUAAUAUCCAUCUUCAUUUAUCAACACCAACCUAAUCGUUGAAAACCAGUGGUGAAAGAAAAACCUUCUCUGCAAACUCGACCUCUCUGUCAUUUACCUUUUCUUGGCAAAAUUAAGGUAUAAAAACCUUUUCUUCUCCUGUCUAGGGUUCGUAUAUUGGAAACAUAUCUUCGUCGAUUUCUGCAGAAUAACACGAAGAAAGCUCUAAUCCUUGCUGAUUGGGAUAUGCACAGGUGACAACAAACUCACCUAAGUGAUUCCAUCCAUCAUCUCAGAUUACUCAGUGGAUAUGAAAAAACAAAGGAACUUGUUCAAGGGCAAACGAACGAUUAAGCGUUGCUGGAAUAAAGGUUCAAAGAAACCGACUUCAAAAGAACCAAUAUCCUUCACAAGUGAAGGUGAGGUAUGCAUUUCAUCUCUUUUAUUAAAAAGUAACAAAAGCAUUAUUGUAAUUGUUAGAUAAUUAAAAGAACUAUUGUGAUUGUUAGAUAACGUUGCUUUUUAGAACGAAUUUAUGGUGAAGUGGACCAUUUAGAUAUUUCGUGGUUUUAACUGACGCAUCAUGGUCACAUGUGUGUUUAUUAUCAGGUCGAAAUCUUGUAUUUGCAAGAUUAUUUGUCGAAAUAAUCGAAUUAAAAGCACAAUUUUCGGAUUAUACAAUAAAAACAUUCUACUUGAUAA